AAAGGUUCAGGUCCGCAAAGAUUUGGCCAGAUUAGUGGCAGCGAGUUGCUUUGGGACAACAGCUACUGUCAGGACAGGCUUCCUGUGAGAUGGGACUUGAACCGGUUCCAUCCAAGUCGAGUUGGCCCAGAGCUGCUGGAGUGACUUAGCAGUUGGCAAGGUGUCCCCUGAACUACAGAAGUUGUAUAUUGGGCCAGAAGCAGACCUGGAAGAAGCUGAUGACAAAGGCCUGCCAACAGUGCUGAGACUAGCAUUCCCCAGUUCACUGAAGGCCCUGGAAUGAGACAUCUAGGAUAGACCUGAACCACCUCACAACUUGAAGCCAAACCCACCUAAGCCCAGCAGAGAUCAGCUAAACCACAACUGAUCUACAGACU